rnacentral:tRNA from 1 species
GGGGGUAUAGUUCAAUGGAAAGAAUAUGGGAUUUCUAACCCCACGAUCUAGGUUCGAUUCCUAGUACCCCUACCA